CCCUUGCAUAACACUAAAUAAUUUUGUUUUGUCACACUCAGAGUUGGAUGAUGAGCACUCUUGAUUCUACUUGCAAUUAUAGCUUGGAAAUGCGAUGGCCCUGGAUUCCUUGACUAAAACUUGGAUGUCUUAUGGACUUCCUUAGGUCUGAAGUGGAAAAGCUGAAUGAGAAGUGGGAAAUGAUGGAAGAGGAAAUGGUGGAAGGGGUGCAAAACAGAUCUUUGUACAUGUGUAUUGAAGCUAACAGGGAAUCCAUGUCUUACUUGAUCCACUCCAUGAAUUUACCUACACUACUACUACGUGCUCCAAUUGCCUUCCCAAAGGAGAAUUAUAAUACAAGAUAGAAUUGAAGUGGAGAUUCGGACUGGUGACAAUAUCCCUUUUUCAUGGGUUGCGGGGCAUUCGGGUUCAAAAUCAUUCUUGCCUGUGGUUGCAAAUACAUGGUAUUUUCGACAAGCAAAGGUAAACCCAGUCCUGGUGGAGGAAAAAGAAAAUCUUUAUGCACUUGCUGGAGCUCCCCUAAAUGAGCAAGAAGAAUUAUCUUUUGAGGUGUUCAACCCUGAGACCAUGGCAUGGUCGGACUUAGACUCCCCUGAGCCUUUCAGCCCUCACUUCAACGAAAACAUUGACCCUUUUCUCCUUUGGAUCAAUAAGCUCACCCCAUUUUUCUCUCAUGCAAUUUCAAGCAGUAACAAAAAGAUUUUCAUUUCAAAAAUUGACACUGCUCUGUUUUGCUUUGACUUUGAUACCCAUGAAUGGGAGAGAUAUAAUUUGUUAGUUGAAUGGCCAGAUGAAGAUAGAGCUAUUCCUAACUUGGACAAUUCUGUACCUCUUCCCUUCUUUGGCAAAGUUGAAGUUCUUGAGGUGUCUCCUUUUGAGACUACCUCUAGGGCUAAAUAUAAAUGAUAUUUUUUAAUUGCCGCAUGAGUUAAUUCAUUAACUUAGAAACAUGUUG